UACGAGGGGUGCAAGCGUUAUUCGGAAUUAUUGGGCGUAAAGGGUGUGUAGGCGGCGUUUCAAGUCAAUUGUAAAAUUCUCCGGCUCAACCGGAGCAAAGCGGUUGAAACUGAUACGCUAGAGAAUGGAAGAGAGAAGUGGAAUUCUAGGAGUAACGGUAAAAUGCGUAGAUCUCGAGAGGAACAUCGAUGGCGAAGGCAGCUUCUUGGGACAUUUCUGACGCUGAGACACGAAAGCGUGGGGAGCAAACAGG
rnacentral:rRNA from 1 species